rnacentral:rRNA from 1 species
CAGUCGCCGCGGUAAUACGUAGGGUGCGAGCGUUAAUCGGAAUUACUGGGCGUAAAGCGUGCGCAGGCGGUUGUGUAAGACAGGUGUGAAAUCCCCGGGCUUAACCUGGGAACUGCGCUUGUGACUGCACAGCUAGAGUAUGGCAGAGGGGGGUGGAAUUCCACGUGUAGCAGUGAAAUGCGUAGAGAUGUGGAGGAACACCGAUGGCGAAGGCAGCCCCCUGGGCCAAUAAUGACACUCAUGCACGAAAGCGUGGGGAGCAAACAGGAUUAGAUACCCGCGUAGUCCCUGUCUCUUAUAA